UGCAUGUGAAAGUAUAAAGUCCAAGAAGGAUGAAACUGCGAACGGCUCAUUAGAACAGUUAUAGUUUCUUCGAUUAGUAAGUACAAGGAUAGCUUUGUGAAUGAUAAAGAUAAUACUUGAGACGAUCUUGGAUGUAGAGACACAUUCAGGCCUUUGCAUCAUAAAAUGGUGUGAAGAGAAAGGAUAUCCAAACUGAAAGUGGGUAUCAUGACAAUUGUAGAAUAGCGAUAUACAACAAGUAAUCGAUGAGAAUAUCUGAUCUAUCAACUAGUUGGUAGUAUCGAGGACUACCAAGGUUAUAACGGAUAACGAGGAAUUAGGGUUUGACAUCGGAGAGGGAGCUUUCAAGAUGGCUACCACUUCCAAGGAAGGCAGCAGCCGCGUAAAUUACCCAAUUUCAACAGAUAGAAGAGGUAGUGACGACAAAUAACUCACGACAUGCGUAAGCAUGUCUAGAAGGAAUGAGUAAGAAGCAAAGAGUCUUACGAAAUCAAUUGGAGGGCAAGUCUGGUGCCAGCAGCCGCGGUAAUUCCAGCUCC
rnacentral:rRNA from 1 species